rnacentral:rRNA from 1 species
UUGGGGUUGCGGACAUAUCAUAACGAAGAGGUAUCGUAAUUGAAGAGGUUUGGAAAGACCCACCACAGAAGGUAAUAGUCCUGUAUGUUAAACGAGAAGACGUUAGAUAUGAUCCAGAGUACCACGGGACACGUGAAACCCUGUGGGAAGCAGGAGGGACCACCCUCCAAGGCUAAAUACUACCUAGUGACCGAUAGCGUAUAGUACCGUGAGGGAAAGGUGAAAAGAA